ensembl:lncRNA
GAAAGAAUUAGCUAAGUGCUCCGGUAAUCUGUAACAGGUUUAUGUGGCAAUGAUUUGUUUUACUCAGCAAUGUGAUUAAUCACUUUCCCUGUGCUUUGAUGCUGCCCGGUGUUGGAAUCUGUCACUGGGUGAACUUUAUCGCUUCACUAUUCAGCAUCACAAAUCAACAAUGGAAACUAACCAAGCAAGAACUGCCCCAAAUCCUAAUAACGCAACAAAGCAAGGAGCUGUACGAAUUAAGAUGCUUUCAGCAGUAUCAGUGCUCAGUGACAAGCUGUUAUUAGGAGGUGCUGCACGCAGGGUGAGGAGUUUCCAGAGCUCUCCCAGCUCUUCUCCUGAGUAAGGCAUGCUGCAAAGCACGAAGAUUCUCCAAUUAGGUACUGCUGCCUGCCUUCAUUUUCUUCCUGCUGGCUGGCAGAAAGUGGGCCCUCUGCUAUUACUUGUCCUUCCUGGCAGCUGCGUUAGCUUUUUCUGCCUUAGGUGGAAUGUGGUAAUGGAAAAGUUUCUCUUUAAAAGCCCGAAUGCAGCAACACCUGACCUACUUCGGAUGGAAUGGAGAGCAGAAUGAUGAUCCUGUGGUGGGUUUUGAGUUACUCUAUGAUAAUUUCUGAAAGGCAAGCUGCCGCUUGGACACAUCUCCCAGGGUAUGCACUCAGUGAUGCUCUGAGGUCAGGAAAGAAAUUGGUUAUGAGAUCAUACCCAGAGAGCGGUGGUCAAUGUCUGAGUGUCCAGAUGGAGAUUGGCAAUGAAUGCUCAAGGGGACAGAAAGAAGGGGACAGACUCUUUAGCAGUCUCUGCUGUGAUAGGACAAGGAAGAGGGGAGAUUGAGCCUGGAGAUGAGGAAGAAGGUUUGGCACUGAGGGCAGUGAGGCAGUGGCACAGGUUGCCCAGAGAGGCGGUGGUGCCCCGUCCCUGCAGACAGCCAAGGUCAGGCUGGACGGGGCUGUGAGCACUGCUGGAGCUGUGGCUGUCCCUGUGCACUGCAGGGAGUGGCACCAGGCGGCCUCUGAGGGUCCCUUCCAA